GGCUCAGGACGAACGCUGGCGGCGUGCCUAAUACAUGCAAGUCGAACGGUCUUUUCUAUGGAAGCUUGCUUCCACUGAGAAGAUAGUGGCGAACGGGUGAGUAACACGUGGGUAACCUGCCCAUAAGAGGGGGAUAACAUCCGGAAACGGGUGCUAAUACCGCAUAGUUUUUCUUGAUCGCAUGAUCGGGAAAGGAAAGACGGCCUUUGUGCUGUCGCUUAUGGAUGGACCCGCGGCGUAUUAGUUAGUUGGUGAGGUAACGGCUCACCAAGACGAUGAUACGUAGCCGACCUGAGAGGGUGAUCGGCCACAUUGGGACUGAGACACGGCCCAAACUCCUACGGGAGGCAGCAGUAGGGAAUCUUCCGCAAUGGACGAAAGUCUGACGGAGCAACGCCGCGUGAGUGAAAGAAGGUUUUCGGAUCGUAAAACUCUGUUGUCAGAGAAGAACAAGUUGGAGAGUAACUGCUCCAGCCUUGACGGUAUCUGACCAGAAAGCCACGGCUAACUACGUGCCAGCCGCCGC
rnacentral:rRNA from 1 species